rnacentral:lncRNA from 1 species
AAAUUAUGACAUCCAUCAUAUCUCAAAACCAAAGGGGAUUCGUUCAUGUAAUACAAAUCAAAGAACGUAUUUAUAUGACAUAUGAAGCUACUAAUUUAUUGCAUAAUAAGGCUUUUGGAUGUAACUUGGCCUUAAAAAUCAAAAGUGUAGUCUUUAACAUGAAUAAUGAGAAUUCUCCAGUUCCAUAUGCUUUUGAUGCAUACUUCUUCCAAACAUACUAGGACAUUGUGGCUCAUGAUGUGAUAAAUGUUACUCUGCAAU